AUCCGGAUGACGAAUCCUAAAUAGAACGAAAUGCGCAUCUUGGAU
rnacentral:hammerhead_ribozyme from 1 species